AGCGCAGGCGGUCUUGUAAGUUGAUUGUGAAAACCCCGGGCUUAACCCGGGAGUUGCAGUCAAAACUGUAAGACUUGAGUACGGGAGAGGAAAGCGGAAUUCCUAGUGUAGCGGUGAAAUGCGUAGAUAUUAGGAGGAACACCAGUGGCGAAGGCGGCUUUCUGGACCGUAACUGACGCUGAGGCUCGAAAGCGUGGGGAGCAAACAGGAUUAGAUACCCUGGUAGUCCACGCUGUAAACGAUGGAUACUAGGUGUAGGGGGUAUCAACUCCCCCUGUGCCGGAGCAAACGCAAUAAGUAUCCCGCCUGGGGAGUACGGCCGCAAGGUUGAA
rnacentral:rRNA from 1 species